GACGAACGCUGGCGGCGUGCCUAAUACAUGCAAGUCGAACGCAGUGGGGACGGGUGAGUAACACGUGGGUAACCUCCCAUCAGAGGGGAUAACACUUGGAAACAGGUGCUAAACCGAUACUGAUGGAUGGACCCGCGGUGCAUUAGCUAGUUGGUGAGGUAACGGCUCACCUAGGCCACGAUGCAUAGCCGACCUGGAAGGGUGAUCGGCCAGACGGGGACUGAGAAAGGGCCCAGACUCCUACGGGAGGCGGCAGUAGGGAAUCUUCGGCAAUGGACGAAGGUCGGACCGAGCAACGCCGCGUGAAGGAAGAGGGUUUUCGGAUCGUGAAACGCUGUUGUUAGGGAAGCGGUAUCUAACCAGAAAGCCACGGCUAACUACGUGCCAGCAGCCGCGGUAAUUC
rnacentral:rRNA from 1 species